UACAGAGGGUGCGAGCGUUAAUCGGAAUUACUGGGCGUAAAGCGUGCGUAGACGGUUAUUUAAGUCGGAUGUGAAAGCCCCGGGCUCAACCUGGGAAUUGCAUUCGAGACUGAAUAGCUAGGGUACGGUAGAGGGAAGCGGAAUUUCCGGUGUAGCGGUGAAAUGCGUAGAUAUCGGAAGGAACAUCAGUGGCGAAAGCGGCUUCCUGGACCAGUACCGACGUCAGGCACGAAAGCGUGGGGAGCAAACAG
rnacentral:rRNA from 1 species